AUGAACGCUGGCGGCGUGCCUAAUACAUGCAAGUCGAGCGAACGGACGAGAAGCUUGCUUUUCUGAUGUUAGCGGCGGACGGGUGAGUAACACGUGGAUAACCUACCUAUAAGACUGGGAUAACUUCGGGAAACCGGAGCUAAUACCGGAUAAUAUUUUGAACCGCAUGGUUCAAAAGUGAAAGACGGUCUUGCUGUCACUUAUAGAUGGAUCCGCGCUGCAUUAGCUAGUUGGUAAGGUAACGGCUUACCAAGGCAACGAUGCAUAGCCGACCUGAGAGGGUGAUCGGCCACACUGGAACUGAGACACGGUCCAGACUCCUACGGGAGGCAGCAGUAGGGAAUCUUCCGCAAUGGGCGAAAGCCUGACGGAGCAACGCCGCGUGAGUGAUGAAGGUCUUCGGAUCGUAAAACUCUGUUAUUAGGGAAGAACAUAUGUAUAAGUAACUGUGCACAUCUUGACGGUACCUAAUCAGAAAGCCACGGCUAACUACGUG
rnacentral:rRNA from 1 species